UGUGAUGGAAUUUCGGUGAAAUGUAAAUUUAGUAGGCCGAGAUUUCCACAUGGCAUGUAUGUAUGUUGUUGGCAUGUAUGUAUGUUGUGUAUGUUGUAUCAGUUAGUUAGUUACACGUAGCUAAGAUACUGUCAUCAAUGUACUGAGCAUGUGCAGGAAUGCAGGAACUGAAAUCACAUUCCUUUCUCCUUUGUUUCGGAUGAGCCAUGUGGUCUGCCCGUAUAAAGAAAUCCAAAUCCUGUCCACCGAUUGGUUAAGGGUAUGUGUGGGUGGAG